AAGCUCGUAGUCGGAAUUGGCCAGCAAUGGUCACACGUAGUUUUUACGUUCACUGUGAACAAAUCAGGACGCUUAGAGUAUGGUUUCAGGAAUGACUCAGCGCAGUAUGAAGUCUUUGUUUUUUUCGGAAAACAAGCUCAAUGAGAGCCAUCGGGGGUAGAUCUAUCCCAUGACGAGUGGUGGAAUACGUUGACUCAUGGGAGAGAAUCGGAGGCGAAGGCGUCUACCUAGAGGGUUUCUGUCGAUCAAGGGCGAGAGUAGGAGUAUCCAACAGGAUUAGAGACCCUGGUAGUUCCUACUGUAAACGAUGCCGACAGGAGUUUGUCAUUUUCUAAUGGCAGAAUCUUUAGAGAAAUCAUAGUUCUUGGGCUCUGGGGGAACUACGACCGCAAGGCUGAAACUUGAAGGAAUUGACGGAAGGGCACACCAGGGGUGGAGCCUGUGGCUUAAUUUGAAUCAACACGGGGAAACUUACCAGGACCAGAUGUUUUUUAUGACUGACAGGCUUAAGGUCUUUCAGGAUAUGAUUUUUGGUGGUGCAUGGCCGUUGGUGGUGCGUGGGUUGA
rnacentral:rRNA from 1 species